GGGGAUGUAUUUGGCUUUCGACAGUAUCCCAGAAGCACGCAAAGCGAGUAGUGGAUGGCUGCUUCGGCCACUAUAAAAAAGCAGAACUAAAUUUAAACGCUGAUAAUACAGAAUUAGCUUACGCUGCCUAAGCUUAGGUAGCCCGUCUUACUAGGAAGGCCUACGGUCUUAGAUAAGGCGUCAAUUAGUAGGAAAACAAAACUAUUCUUGCUAUUAGAAUAGUGGGUAAACAAAUAGCUACCUUUAAAAUAUGUUUGUUUGUUAAUAUAUUUUAAAGGGAAAAACAAUAACAAACUGCACUCGGAGAAAUGUGUGUGGAAAGAAUAUUGGACAGGGGUUCAACUCCCCUCAUCUCCACCA
rnacentral:tmRNA from 1 species